AGUGAACGCUGGCGGUAGGCCUAACACAUGCAAGUCGAACGGCAGCACAGUAAGAGCUUGCUCUUACGGGUGGCGAGUGGCGGACGGGUGAGGAAUACAUCGGAAUCUACUUUUUCGUGGGGGAUAACGUAGGGAAACUUACGCUAAUACCGCAUACGACCUACGGGUGAAAGCAGGGGAUCUUCGGACCUUGCGCGAUUGAAUGAGCCGAUGUCGGAUUAGCUAGUUGGCGGGGUAAAGGCCCACCAAGGCGACGAUCCGUAGCUGGUCUGAGAGGAAGAUCAGCCACACUGGAACUGAGACACGGUCCAGACUCCUACGGGAGGCAGCAGUGGGGAAUAUUGGACAAUGGGCGCAGGCCUGAUCCAGCCAUACCGCGUGGGUGAAGAAGGCCUUCGGGUUGUAAAGCCCUUUUGUUGGGAAAGAAAAGCAGCAGGUUAAUACCCCGCUGUUCUGACGGUACCCAAAGAAUAAGCACCGGCUAACUUCGUG
rnacentral:rRNA from 1 species